GUAAUGCUAUAUCCGUCCAUGUUGCCAUUUGGCAAAACAGACUGAAUAAACUACAACUAAUUUGACAGAUGUAGCUCCAACAAGAUGGCCGGUCGGAAGACUAUUUAGUUAUCGUACUUAUUUCGCUAGUUCAUUGUCGCUUGUCCGAACUUAUCUGAAUUAAACUAAUAUCGAAAAUAAUCCAAUCAACGUGACACACACUGUACAGUACAUACAUACAUACAACCACAUAAUGUAAUGAAAGUAAAAUGAUCUCUCUGGAACGUUAAAUUUCUUGACUGAUUCAUCAAUUACCAAAUCGAAUUUUGGUGCCUCAAAUAGUAAUAUCAAACAGAUAAAAUUAUCGACAAUACCUAAAUACCAAGAUAUUAGAUACAAACUGAUAAUAAACGUACCAUAUGUGAGUAAUUGAUUAUUAACAUGUAUACAGUGAAAUAGUAAACUCUUCAAUAAUAGUCGAAAUUACCUGUCACUAAAAAAGAAAAAAAUAUGUUUUUUUUAAUUGUACGUAGAUGGACUUUACCCUUUGAGAGGGAAAAGUCGAUUUUUCUAUGGUUUAAAACAGGUGAUCGACUUUACCCAAAAUGCGGGGUUAAGUCGAUCACACUUUGAAUGAAAAUAAAAAUUGAAUGGGAAAAAUUACAAAAAUAAUAAUGGGUUCAUCAAAUGGUUUAAUGUUUGAGGUAUCUUUAUUUUCGAUCUCAUUUAAAAAAAAUUCAAUCGUUUAGGCGCUAGGAUGAAAAAACCUUUAUUUUUGAUCGACUUUACCCCGUUUGACGGUAUCUUUAAAGGGUCUCUUAUUGAGAGAUCUAUAUGUUUUGCAAUACCAUCUAUUCUGUUAUUAAUGAUUUCUACAUAAUGAUUCUUGUUCUUUUAUCAUUUGUACUAAUUAUUAUAAGAACCUGAAGUCCGCUACUGCCAUAGACAUAAACAGUAGUCAGUCUCAGCAACAACUGACUCUAAUUGUAGUUGCUAUUAUUCUGUGACUUUUUGAAUUUUGUCUAUUUUGUUUUCGAAAGCUGAAAUUACUUGUCAAAUUUUUAGUUCGUAUCUUUGUACGUUUGUUAAACAUUGUUCUUCUUAUUUUUCUACUAGUACAUUAUGAGAAACACUUAUAAAAAACCGAACGCAAAACGUCCCUUGGUAAAGACUGGCAUUCAGCUUGUUUACGGUGCGAAAAAUGCAACAAGACUCUCACCCCAGGCUCCCACG